rnacentral:rRNA from 1 species
UACGUAGGGUGCGAGCGUUGUCCGGAAUUAUUGGGCGUAAAGAGCUCGUAGGCGGUCUGUCGCGUCGGUCGUGAAAACCUGCAGCUUAACUGUGGGCGUGCGGUCGAUACGGGCAUGACUGGAGUUCGGCAGGGGAGACUGGAAUUCCUGGUGUAGCGGUGAAAUGCGCAGAUAUCAGGAGGAACACCGGUGGCGAAGGCGGGUCUCUGGGCCGAUACUGGCGCUGAGGAGCGAAAGCGUGGGGAGCGAACAGG